rnacentral:rRNA from 1 species
CCUACGGGGGGCAGCAGUGGGGGAUAUUGGACAAUGGGGGGAACCCUGAUCCAGCGACGCCGCGUGAGUGAAGAAGUAUUUCGGUAUGUAAAGCUCUGUCAGCAGGGAAGAAAGAAAUGACGGUACCUGACCAAGAAGCCCCGGCUAACUACGUGCCAGCAGCCGCGGGAAUACGUAGGGGGCAAGCGUUAUCCGGAAUUACUGGGUGUAAAGGGAGCGUAGACGGUUAAGUAAGUCUGGAGUGAAAGGCCGGGGCCCAACCCCGGGACUGCUCUGGAAACUAUUGAACUUGAGUGCAGGAGAGGUAAGCGGAAUUCCUAGUGUAGCGGUGAAAUGCGUAGAUAUUGGGAGGAACACCAGUGGCGAAGGCGGCUUACUGGACGGUAUCUGACGUUGAGGCUCGAAAGCGUGGGGAGCAAACAGGAUUAGAUACCCUUGUAGUC